AACGCUCAGAUCCGCUAGAGCAUUCAGAAUGUCACAAGGUGCAAGUUGGAGAUCCGGUGUGCUGCUUCCAGGUGACAUUAAUCGCAAGUUACCCUGCAAAUUGUCUAUAUAUUCAGCAGUACAGCUUAUACUUCACCGUUCGGUCUACUUGGGAAAGGAGAGAUCAAGCUAUAUAUUACGAUGUUCAUGUUAUAAAUAUUCAGA
rnacentral:misc_RNA from 1 species